CCCUUAGAUGUUCUGGGCCGCACGCGUGCUACACUGAGUGGAUCAGCGGGUCAGGUUACGCGAGAGCGUUUCCUAAUCUUCAAAUCCGCUCGUGAUGGGGAUUGACGGUUGCAAUUUUCCGUCAUGAACGAGGAAUACCUUGUAAGCGCGGGUCAUCAUCCCGCGCUGAAUACGUCCCUGCCCUUUGUACACACCGCCCGUCGCUCCUACCGAUUGAGUGGUCCGGUGAGGCUUUGGGAUCUAAGCGAAAAGAGCGUUUCGCUCCUUUUGCUGGGAGAACUCAGUCGAACCUUAUCAUUUAGAGGAAGGAGAAGCCGUAACA
rnacentral:rRNA from 1 species